ACCUGGAAUGCAUGCUGGGUUAGCAGGACCUUCAUGAAUCUGAUGACCACUGAUGCCUUAACAAAUCACCAUGCCUUUGAUGAUAAAGUGGGAGAAGGAAGUCUUUAAUUGCCUUCCAGUUGCCAUCAUGAAGAUCUGUUAUUUACAGCCAACAACUUGCUACCAUCUUUAGGAUUUCACUGAGCCUGAGCAUCUUCUUCCUCCCUUUCUCCAUUCCUGUGUCCCAG
rnacentral:lncRNA from 1 species